UCCGGAUUGGGACAUGAAUCUCUGUGUGACUGAAAUCAACCACCUGUUGUCUUCAAGUGGAAGUGAGGAGAAGGUCGAGUGGUCCAAACAGACGAAGAGGGAAAAGGAUGACCACAGACACCUAGCAGUCAGCCCCGAGUUCUGCCGCUCACUGUAACGGCGUUUUCAUUCAUUCAUUCUGCCCUGGAGGAACGCUGGAACGGAGAGAAGAGUGCGUUUGGGUGUCUCACUUGAUAGCCUUCUUCCUGAGAGGCUGACCCAUCUGUUGUGAACAGGAAGAACUUUGCAGGUGAAGUCAAUUUCCGCUGAUGGUACUGAGAUGGGGGGCAAUCACAGAGCGUUCUAAAGGUUUGAACUUCCUUUCCUUAUAUGUCUUCCUUCAGAAAUCCAAGAAGCCACCAGCACCAAUGGCCUUGUAGCUGGACUGAGCCUUGGGUAAAGGAAAGGAUAGCUGAGGAGUGGGCAAGGGUCCCAGGAAAACCCUGAUCAUAAUGUUAAUUGAUGGCAUUUAUUUUUUUGAACCCUUGUUCAAACCUCUUUUAAUAUUAAGGCUAAUUAGUUCUGUAGAUUCCUUCAGCUGUGUAAUUUCUUAUUACACUGCUGUGUUCAAGGAUAAUACGCCUUAUUUUUGGUAAAUGACCUUAUAUAUUUUGUAGAAGUAGGCUGGAUAUAAAUGAUAAACAAGUGAAAAAAUAAGCAUCCUCAUGGUUUGCCUCUUUGAUUGCAUUGAUCUUUGUCUCAAUUCAUGUCAGCAAACCUGGCCUUCUCAUUCUCUUCUCUGUCUCUAGGGCGGGGUUUCUCUACGUCAGCACUAUUGACAUUUUGGACCAGAUAAUUCUUUGUCGUGGGAUGUUUUCCUUUGCAUCCCUGGCCUCUACCCCCUGGGUGCUAGUAGCAACCCCUUUGUUAUGACAACCAAAAAUGUCUUCGGACACUGCCAAAUGCCAGACUUUUGGGGGCAAAGUCACCCUUCACUGAGAACCACUAGUCUAGAGCGAGCAGAUUCUCCAAGAUAAUCCCAGUCGACCCAUGUUUUCCCAAGUAUAUAGCUCCCCUUUCACUCUCAAAAGUGCUGUAAUUUGCAUUCUAAUACCCACUUCACAGUGAACGCUUCCCUGACCACCCUGUAUAAAAAUCAUAUCCUUAGUUCAUCUCCUCUGAUUAAUUUUUUUUACUGUAGCCCUUAUCACUAUCCUACAUACUAAAAAUUUACCCAUUUAUGUACUCACUUCCUGAAUUAUAGCUCAUCUCUCAGAACUCAUUCGCCAACUCCACGAGGGCAGGGAUUUUUCUGUUUUGUUCACUGUCCUAUGCUCAGUACCUUUAGCAGUUUUCCUAGGAAACAUGUAGUAGACACUCAGUACAUAUUGAAUGAAUGUGAAUAAUGAAGGUAUUGAAAACUUACUUUCCUCUAGGCAUCAGGCCCAAUACUGAGUAUACAAAAGUGAGGGCAGGACUGGCCUUGCCCUUGAGAAGCUUACGAUCUAGUAGGGGACACAUACAAGUAAAUAAAAAAGCACAGCAGAGUGAAAGGGCUGCAGGAAAGCGAAUGCACAGAUACAAGGGUUGCAGUGUGUUGAGGAGGUAGUGGAGGGGUGAUACUUGAGCUGCUCUUCCUUACCAUUCAGCUGCAGUCCAUUAUCUGCAUAGCGACUGCAACGCAAAUACAGCGUGAAUUGCGAUGUACAGCCACCGCAGGUACCAGUGGCCCCUCAGUGCGGUACACCUUCACCUGCUGGGUGCAGUUCUCACUCCUUAGCAUGGUAUAUGAGGGUUGUCAUAUUCUGGCUCCCUGUCCGUACUUAUCUAUUGCACUCGCCUCCAAGCAGCCUCUCCUGCUAACCAGGCAGGUGAGAACAAGAUGUGUUCUCAACGCUUUCAGGCUUUUCCUUGCUGGAAUAGAAUAGCCCUCCCUACCCCAAGGGGUCUGCCUGACAUGUGUCAAGAUUCUGCUGAAAUGGAAUAGCCUCUCUGAAGCCUUCCUUGAUGUUGCCUUCCAUCUGAGUGAGUUAUCACACAAAAUGCCAAGGGCAGACAGCUUGGAAAAGUUAUGUGUUUCUGAAGGGAAUGAAGCUAUUAAGGAGGUUUGGAAAAUGGUCCCCAAAAAAUAAAUACCAUCAGUCAAGACUGUGCAUGAACUUUGAGUAAUUGUUGUCUGCAAUCCACAUCCCUGGAGCAAAGAGGUGACAAACCUGUUGUAGAUCAAAACAUGUCCCUCAUCUGCCUGAAGUUUAAUCUGGGAAGGACUGAAAUUAAGUUCUGGACUACACGAUGCUUGGGACUACAUAUUAAAUAUAUUAUAUACAAUUUAUCUGUAUGCAUUUAUUUACGUUAAAUGUGUAGUAAACUAUAUAAAGUUUA